UACGGGGGGGGCAAGCGUUGUUCGGAAUUACUGGGCGUAAAGGGUGCGUAGGCGGUUCGCUAAGUUGGAUGUGAAAACUAUGGGCUCAACCCAUAGCCUGCAUCCAAUACUGACGAACUAGAGUUCUGGAGGGGGUAGCGGAAUUCCUGGUGUAGCGGUGAAAUGCGUAGAUAUCUGGAGGAACACCGGUGGCGAAGGCGGCAUCCUGGACCAAUAUUGACGCUGAGGAGCGAAAGCCAGGGGAGCAAACGGG
rnacentral:rRNA from 1 species